AGAAGAAGAAGAAGAAGAAGAAGAAGAAGAAGAAGAAGAGCGAGGCAGACAUCUGGGCCACUGAACUGAAGCGAGGUGUUGCAACUUUCAUUUCCAGUCAAACUUCUUCAGUUCAGUAAAUGACUUCCACUUGAAAAAGCUCACACAUAACGUUACAAAUCCAGUCUGAGAGUUCUGAGGAAAGCUGAAACAUGCUGCACGCGGAUACAAAACGCUGCCCCCCCCCGUAAGUAACAUUCACAGAGGGGCUGUUUUAUUUUAUGAGCAUUUUAAAAUAAGCUUCUCCCAGGCUGCUCCGCUUCUGAGCAAUUAUACUUGCAAGUAGUGAUGAGGGGAUCCUGUAGCCGCACUUUAUUAUCCAACGAUACAGCAUCCCACAACAGCCACAGAGUGAUCAACCCAACCUAAUUGGGAAGGAGGAAACAAAGCAUGACGCGCAGUUGUGUGUAGGAGAGGUGGAUACAGACUUUUUGUUUGGUGCAUCACACGUUGUCAGAUUUGACUGAGGAGGAAAAGUAAAAGGUACUGAACGUUA